rnacentral:rRNA from 1 species
UAGGGAAUCUUCCGCAAUGGGCGAAAGCUUGACGGAGCAACGCCGCGUGAGUGAUGAAGGUCUUCGGAUCGUAAAACUCUGUUAUUAGGGAAGAACAAAUGUGUAAGUAACUAUGCACGUCUUGACGGUACCUAAUCAGAAAGCCACGGCUAACUACGUGCCAGCAGCCGCGGUAAUACGUAGGUGGCAAGCGUUAUCCGGAAUUAUUGGGCGUAAAGCGCGCGUAGGCGGUUUUUUAAGUCUGAUGUGAAAGCCCACGGCUCAACCGUGGAGGGUCAUUGGAAACUGGAAAACUUGAGUGCAGAAGAGGAAAGUGGAAUUCCAUGUGUAGCGGUGAAAUGCGCAGAGAUAUGGAGGAACACCAGUGGCGAAGGCGACUCUCUGGUCUGUAACUGACGCUGAGGCUCGAAAGCGUGGGUAGCAAACAGG